GAACUUAUUGAGCAAUCAUAUAGCUGUUGGAGAUUUACUCCAAGUUGACUGAAAAUUUCGAUUAUUAUUUAUAAAUUUUCCAUUGAAAUCAGUGAAAUAUCUUCUGUCGAUGCUUAAUUACAGAGCCGUAUCUCUUUUUCCUGUAAUACCUAACUAACGGCAUAUUUUGAAGUUGAAGGGCUAUUUAGUAGAUGUUAGCGUAGUUUUCGGAAAUACUGUGCUAGGUAUUUUGGAGCUAAUGUCAGGAAAUUGGAACUAUACAAGAUACAGGGCGAGGACAUAGAUCUCCUCAGAUCAUAUCUCAGAAAUAGAUGUCAGCAGGUAAUCAUCAAGCUGAGGGUCAUGUGAAUAUAGGCAUUCCGAAAGGUUUAGUCCUGUACUAUUUCUGAUGUACGUAAAUGACCUGCCACUGGCUGACCUUCAUUCCAAGUGAACGCUAUUUGCUGACGACAUAAAAGUUCCGUGAAGUUUUGCUUGAUUUUGGUUACUUUGGUUGGAUCAUGACAACUCACAUAAUACUGAAAACUUGGAACAGUUAACUCCGAUAUAUGUAUAAAAUUUCUGGGUGUCCACCUAGAUCCAAGGCUUCACUGUGACAUUGACAUCUAGCGGGUUGCUUCUAGGCUAUCCAAAACACUUUUUCGUAACAUGAAUAUUCCCUUAUCGCCCGAAGAACAGCUUACUUUGCAGUAUUCCAUUUGCAGUGAUCCUACGCUCUUCUGGGAUGGGUCAUGCCAUUCAUAUCCACUUUUUGGACUCCAACGGUACGGAUGCCUUCAUAUCUCUGGGUAUACUUACUUACCUCAAAAAAAUAAUAAGUUUAGGUAAGGCUUAGUAAAAUUGAAACAGUGUUAAUAGCAUUAAUUGAUGGAAGUAUACUAUACAGGGCGUUUUUUAUUUCACGGAAGUUAUUGUUUUAAUAAUAAAAUUACAACUGUCGGGAACGGGGUCAAAAAUAUAGGAUAUUAAAAAC